GACAGAGGGUGCAAACGUUGUUCGGAAUUACUGGGCGUAAAGCGCGUGUAGGCUGCUUCGCAAGUCGGAUGUGAAAGCCCUGGGCUCCACCCAGGAAGUGCAUUCGAAACUGCAGAGCUGGAGUCCUGGAGAGGAAGGCGGAAUUCUCGGUGUAGAGGUGAAAUUCGUAGAUAUCGAGAGGAACACCGGUGGCGAAGGCGGCCUUCUGGACAGUGACUGACGCUGAGACGCGAAAGCGUGGGGAGCAAACAGG
rnacentral:rRNA from 1 species